AAAACUAGCCAUUCCUUUGGGUAUGAAACCCAUUUGGGCGAGAGUAGUACUAGGAUGGGUGAUCUCCUGGAAAGUCCUCAUGAAAGGGUUUC
rnacentral:rRNA from 1 species